rnacentral:lncRNA from 1 species
UUGUGUGAUCUAGAAACAUCAAAUUCAUAUAGUUUAACAACGUUAAAUUAAAACACAAUUAUAUAUAUAUAAACUCUAUUGUAUAUGUGCUGACCGUGAAGCAUAUUAGUGAAAGUAAUAAACAAGUAACUUCUAGUUGGAAUUUUUUUUUUUUUUUUUUUUUUUGUUUAUUUGCUCUCGUUCAUUCACGAAUUAUAGUGCAUUUGACAACUU